AGUUCCUAUUUGGGAAAGGCUCUUGCUCACAGGUAGUGGAGUUGAUUUUUCCCUUGUGCCUGCAGAAAGCAACCAGGGAAACAACUCUGCUAAGCUGGGGCUGAUUUUAAUGCGUUAGGCUCAGAUGUUGGCAGCAGGCACAUGCUCCAAGAGCCACCAAAGAUGGUUAAUUGGCUGUGAGUUUUGGAGCCUGACCAUUAGCUGGGAGACACAAAGCUUCUUCACACAGAGUCACCCAUAGUUAUUUCCAAGGCAAGCAGAAAGCUGUGUGUCUGUAUGGCUGGGAGGAUUGGCAAGGGAAUGCCAAGGCUGUCCAGCAAACUAGAAUAUUGCUGAUUCACCCAGCUUUUCUUUUCAACUGUGUGCCAGGAAUAUUUAUACACGUACUUUUUCUGACUGCUAUCUCCUCACAGAUCCAGGGAGCAGCUGGGUCAGGAUUGGUUCCUUGGAGUGAAUGUAGAUUUGUGUGUGGAACACAACACAUUUUUUCUGAUUCUCAUCACCUCACAAAGCAGAAGUAGAGAAGAGGGGUGGUGUAUCUGGAAUGAAAGAGAUGGAGUGACUUUCAUGUGUGGUAAAAUAAAGGG